UUAUCAAAAUUUCUCAACAUAAAUUAUACAUGAGUUUGACUGGACUACUAUCGAUAGUAAACUACUCGAUUUAUUAUUACCGAUUUGUUUUUGAUGAUAGAGCUUCCAAAUCGACGAUCGGUAUCGUUGAACAUGAUCUAAACCAUCUAAAUUAUCUCCAAAUCAAAUUUUAUGAUUUUUUGGCAUUACUAACUGAACGAUCAAAUGAUUACAAAAUCUAUAAUUUUAAUGACUGAUAUAGUGCGUUUGCUCGUUUAACGGUAUAGAAGAGUUCAAAUCAACUAAAUUUUUAUUAGAAAAUUCUUUAAACUAUAUAAAAUAAGAUCUAGACUCUAGAUCUCAAAUAUAAAAAUUGUAUCAUCACCUUUUGAAGGAUGUUCAUUUCCAGCCAUUCAUUUUUUUGUUCGCUUGAUGGACAAGUGAACAAUAUCGAAAAUGUGUGAAAUUUGAUUUCCAAAUAGUUUAAAUAGUUUAGAUCAUAUUUAACGGUGCCGAUCAUCAAUUUGGAAGUUCUAUCAUCGAAAACAAAUCGAUAGUAAAUCGAGCCAUUUACUACCGAUAGUAUUUUAGCAAAACUCAUAUUAUUAAAUUAUAAUUAAAAAAUAAAAAUAAAAUUUUAAAAUAAAACCAAUGCGCACCUGGUUCACCAAACAAAAUUCCACU
rnacentral:lncRNA from 1 species